rnacentral:rRNA from 1 species
UACGUAGGGUGCAGGCGUUAAUCGGAAUUACUGGGCGUAAAGCGUGCGCAGGCGGUCGAUCAAGUCGCGUGUGAAAGCCCCCGGCUCAACUGGGGAGGGUCACGCGAUACUGAUCGACUCGAAGGCAGGAGAGGGUAGUGGAAUUCCCGGUGUAGUGGUGAAAUGCGUAGAUAUCGGGAGGAACACCAGUGGCGAAGGCGACUACCUGGCCUGUUCUUGACGCUGAGGCGCGAAAGCUAGGGGAGCAAACGGG